CCUGCGCUCUGUCUUCCUUUCUACCGUGAAACUUUAACACCAUCUUCUUUCACUUCUCCUAAAUCCUAACUUUAUCCCAUUCUAUUCUUACCUUAUAGCAUUAGUAAAGGGGCUGGAGAUUAGAGACUGACUUCUUAGUGAUCGGUAAGGAGCUGGCUGGAGGAAUGCACGGUGGUCUAAAUACUGCUCUAAAUUAAGGUACAAUCCUACAUAUAUAGCAGCACAACUUUAAGGAUCAAUGCUAGAAAUUACUAUGUAUUUGAGGCUGAGAAGAGAGUUGUUUCUUUAGGUUGGCACUAAUAAGUUCAGACACAAGCAUUUGGGCUGGAUUUUAUUUAUUUAUUUAUUUAUCAUUUCUUUCUAUACUAUGUUUGUAGAAAGUGUAAUGAAACAAAUGGAUUUCAUGAUUGUAAACAUUUUAGUUUUUAAAAGUUGAAUGAAACAAUGAAUUCUUAGGUUA